rnacentral:rRNA from 1 species
UUAAAGUGUUAUUGAUUAAAAUUAUUAUGAGUUACGUUCUUUAAAAUUAAAAAGUUUGGCGGUAUUUUAGUCUAUUCAGAGGAACCUGUUUUUUGAUCGAUAGUCCACGAUAAGUUUUACUUUAACUUUGAAUUUAUAUAUCGUCGUUAUUAAAAAUUUUUGUAAAAUUAUAAUUUUUAGGAUUUUUUAUUAGAAUUGAAUUCAGAUCAAGGUGUAGUUUAUGUUAAAGUUAGAAUGGGUUACAUUAUUUUUAUAUGUGGUUUUUUAUUUAAAAUUAAUUUUAAAAUGGAUUUGAUAGUAAAUUUUUUGUUUUUAAAAAUUGAUUUAGCUCUAAAAUAUGC